AUUGUUUUUAAGGAGAACCCGUGAAUAAAUUGGUUUUAAAAGAGUGCAAUUUCACUGUAGGGAGUCCAAUUUGUUACACAAAGAUUGAUUAUCCAUCUUCUGAUAAGCUGAUUUAUGAGUAAUUUCGGAUGAUACAGCGACAUAUCUGGAAAUAGAAACGGCCCAGGCGCUACAGAAGACUUAAUCACUCGACAGAUAUUAAUUGUCUGUUAUACUUUCAGGGUGGUCCAAUGAUGCAGAUCGAGAUUAAUAUUCAUUAGAGAGUUACGAGCUAAUUUACAUGACAAGUUAUAAUAAUCUCCCGGGGGAUUAAUAUUUAAUUUUGUACUAAUAAAUUUAUUCUUUUCUAGUAGACAGUUCACCUGUCAAACUCAAAACACUGUCAUAUACAGAGGUGACCACAAAAAUAAUCUAUACAUUUAGACCUUGAUGUUAAUUAUGAUUUUCUUCUUCUCUGGAGAGCAAUACUUCUUUUUUCUCACUCCACUCCUUUGCUACAAAGCUUGGUUAUUCAAAUUUGGGAUCACUUCAUUCUUGUAAGCCUCAUACACUUCCUGUACCCAUACACCAGGCAACACCCAGAAUAAAUUAUAACAAAAUUAGAAUAGUUUUAAUGCAUUAUUUAGUCCACAAAUUAAUAACGGCACUCAGCAGAGUUGACGGGAGGUCAACGAGUGAUACAAAAUGUAUAAAACACGUGAACUUUGCAACAUAGUCGGAUGAAAAUCAAUCAGCCCACAGAAGCACGCCGAGACCCAUAAACUUCGCCUCGGCUCGUAAACGUGCAACUUCCACCGCCCGUACGGCCGGUUCAGUUGCGACGAAGUACAACGCGGAAUUCCGAAUGACCGAGAAAGACCCCUCAGGUUCAUGACACACGAUUUUUUCAGCUUUACGUCCGACGCGUGGGAAUGACGGCUUAGUCCACAUUCGCGAUGGUCGUAAACGUUGCCACAGAACUAAUAAUAAAAGCGGGACCUGGAGGUGGAUGAAUGGAAAUGUCGACUUUAUGGUUUAUUGUUCUGGUCAGUCUCCUGUAUCAAAUGGAACGGCUGGAAAGGUUGCUAUUAGGUCCAAUUAAGUGUUCUGGUCGUUUUGGCCGACAAGAGUACAUAAAUCAUUCUUCAAUGCAUUUAUACAAUCAACAAUUUGAUGAAGUUGAAAGUCCAUCAGAAUUUAUUACUGUUUUACUACUAUUAUUUAAUUUGCCAAAGUUUCUCCAUUAAUAGGUUGUUCAUAAUCAAUUCCUUUCCAUUAUUUUAUAAGCAAUUCUCUUUAAGAAAUCAGUUAUCACUUAAUACACAGUUUUAAAUGGCAAAAAAUAUUUUGUUUAACUGAAUUUUAUCUCACAGAAACAUUAACAAUAAACUAAUAAUAAAAUCUAGACCUGGUGGUGGAUGAAUGGAAACGUCUACUUUAUGGUAUGUUUUGUUAGAACGACUGGAAAGGUUGUUGUUAACUCCAAUUGAGGAGUUUUAGUCGUAUUGACCAUCAAGAGUGUCCAUAAAUCAAUCCUCAAUGUAUUUAUGCUAUCAACAAUAUGAUGAAGUUGAAAGUCCAUCAGAAUUUAUUACUGUUUUACUACUACCAUUUAAGUUUCUCUGUUAAUAGUUUGGGAAGCUAAAAAACUUGUUUAUAAUCAAUUCCUUUCCAUCAUUUCAUCAGUAAUUCUAUUUAAGAAAUCAAUCACUACAUAGUUUGUAGCUUUCGGUGGUAUUAAUUAGUAAAAAACCAUUUGUUUAACGGAAUUUUAGGCGUUCACUUUUCACCUCUUGAACAUGUACACAAAAACAAUGAUUCAUUUGAAAGUUUCGUUGAUAUAAACAAAAAAACAUAGAUUUUAUCUCACAGAACAUUAACAACGAACUAAAUUUAACCAGCGAAACCGGCUUGAAUGUUUAUUUACAUUGAUUAAGGAGCACCAUACUUAUAUUGUGUAAUCCUUUACACCUACGACAUUGUUAAUUGUAAAUUAAACAAUCGGAACUACCAUAAUUUGUUGGGCGUAUAAUAAAUUUGAUAAACACAGCUUUGAUCUCCAUUAAUUACAACCUUAAUAAUUAUUUUCCCGGGCACGGAAUAAAUUAAAUGGACAAACUAGAACACGCACAAUUAUUUAUGCAAAUUUAAAUUACAGGUGUUGCACCUUAUUAACAUAUCACACUUCAAUAGUUCCAACAAUAUUGGAAACGUAUCUAAUUAAACGCAGUUGUCGGGGUAUCAUAAUGAGGCGUUGAUGCAUGGAUAACAGAAAAACGGCGUGGAAACACGUGUACGUUUAAUUUUAGAAACGGAAACGCACGUGUCCAGAACGCCAGAACACAAACAAAACGAGCGUCCAGAUUUUUUCCACCCCGACGCAAAUGCGGGAGACGUGGCUCAUUACUGAUGUAGGAGACGCGUCGAAUUUGCAUGUGCCGAUUGCGUCCGCGGAGGAAGGACGAGUUAUGUCUUCGGCUGGGACAAUGGGGUACGGUUAAGGAUUGCGAUCACGCGUCGUUGCUCAACGGUUUCGUUACGUCGGCUCCGUUUUAUCGGCUGGAAACCAAAUAAGAUCAAUUAUGUCUAUAACUGCGAUGGGUCAUUAACGGUGAUGUGACGGAGAUAAUUGCGAGGAAAGUGGAACGAAUGAAAAACACGUAUUUGAGACUUUCCUGUUGAGUUUUAUGGAGGUUUUUUACGUGAUUUCUCUAAUGUAAAUCGAUGUGUCGGGUGCAGAAGGGUUCGUGGCAGCCUUUCCAAUGCAAUUAAAUAACUGUCACCGUCCGUUAAUUAAAAUUCGGCGGCGACCAAACAAAAUUUCGCCUUUCAGCCCGUUUAAAUUUGACUCCGGUUGGAUUCCGGUGUCGACGGGGGAUAUUAAAUUUUUCGAAUGUUCCGCCCGGAUUGGAUUUUUAUGCUUUCGUGAUCACUAUUGGCGUCAUCUCGUCAAGAAGUGUGCAAGAAGUAGCUGCGGCUUUGCAUACAAAUCAGUUAGUUGGUGGGUGAUUAUUAUGCACUGGAGUGCAUACAUAAAUAAUGUCGCCGUGUACGUACACAUCAAAGGAAUUGUAAAAACUGCCCAUUGAAGUAUUCUACACAUCGCAAAGGAUAAAUUAUUCAUAACAACGGUUAAUCAAUAAGUCGUGGCGUUUAGGAAAAAAAUGGACAUAAAUAUGGAAACAUCUCAGACUGUUUUAAAAGUAUAAAAUUUAAUGGAACUUGAGCCAGUUGCCAAGUUUUGGCCAUAAGCUUUUGGUAGAGGCUUUAAUGGGACCUAGUUGAAAAAAUAUGGGUCUGGUUCAUCAACAACAGCACUUCCCUUUAUGUUCCAAUGAUUUUUAUUGGAUAUUGUCACGGAAUGUAACAAUUUUCUACCAUACAUUACAUAUUAAUUAAAAUUGUUUUUGUCAAAUAAACAAUCGUAAAAUCUACAUUAAAUUAAAGGAUAAUCUAUUCAAAUAUUUUAUUAUCUAUCUUAGGUUUAUAUAGACAUAAACCUUUUAUCGAAAGACGUCAAUCAUUUUAAGUUUUAAAUACAUCAAUCUAUCUUAUCUUUUAUGAGAUAUAAAAAUGACAGAAAUUGUGAGAUAUGAUACUUAAAGUAAUCGGAGCCAUCAAAAAAAAUUAGGCUAAAAAUAGUUUACUUCACGAUGUAUUUAUAGUAAAUGUUGUAUAAUUAUCAAAGUUUAAAAAUAAAGAUACCAAAACCAA